UUUAAAGAGAGUUUGAUCCUGGCUCAGGGCGAACGCUGGCGGCGUGCCUAAUACAUGCAAGUCGAACGAACGGAGGAAGAGCUUGCUCUUCCAAAGUUAGUGGCGGACGGGUGAGUAACACGUGGGCAACCUGCCUGUAAGUUGGGGAUAACUCCGGGAAACCGGGGCUAAUACCGAAUGAUAAAGUGUGGCGCAUGCCA
rnacentral:rRNA from 1 species